rnacentral:rRNA from 1 species
GACGAACGCGGGCGGCGUGCUUAACACAUGCAAGUCGAACGAAGAGCGAUGGAAGCUUGCUUCUAUCAAUCUUAGUGGCGAACGGGUGAGUAACGCGUAAUCAACCUGCCCUUCAGAGGGGGACAACAGUUGGAAACGACUGCUAAUACCGCAUACGAUCUAACCUUGGCAUCGAGGAUGGAUGAAAGGUGGCCUCUAUUUAUAAGCUAUCACUGAAGGAGGGGAUUGCGUCUGAUUAGCUAGUUGGAGGGGUAACGGCCCACCAAGGCGAUGAUCAGUAGCCGGUCUGAGAGGAUGAACGGCCACAUUGGGACUGAGACACGGCCCAGACUCCUACGGGAGGCAGCAGUGGGGAAUCUUCCGCAAUGGACGAAAGUCUGACGGAGCAACGCCGCGUGAGUGAUGACGGCCUUCGGGUUGUAAAGCUCUGUUAAUCGGGACGAAAGGCCUUCUUGCGAACAGUUAGAAGGAUUGA